rnacentral:lncRNA from 1 species
AAAAAACAAAAAAAGCAAAAAUAUAGGCAUAGAUAUACAUUUACACGUUGUUUAUAUAUUGUGUCUACUUAUAUACAUAUGUAACAAAAAUACUAAUAUUACUUACAUUUUUUAAAUUAGUAUAAAAUAAACAAAAAAAAAAAAAAUAAAAAAAAAAAAAUAAAUAAAUAAGCUUAUAAUUUAAUUCAAUUCAAUUUCUUAUAUAUAAUGUCAAAGGGACAAGGAGCAUAUUUAUUUUUUGACAACGCUUCUAAUGGAUCAUUAUUUAUUGUAUGGAAAAAAAAUACAUUGGACAAUGCCUUAAUUUUCGUAAAACCUACAAAAGCAGUUCCUGAGUUUAAGUAUACAAGCAAUUGUGGGAAAUCAGAAUUGUUAAGAAAUUUACAAUCUGACAAGAAAUUAUUUUAUUCAGGCAUUUGUCGAUUUAUCAAGGAGGCAAGAGAUGUAAAUGGGGAGUUACUUGUAUUACCAUACUUAAACGAUAAAUUCCCCAUAAAAACUAACAUUUAUUUUUUAAAAGAAAAUAAUGUAAGUUAUACGAAUAAAAAUAAAAAUGUGUGCGUUACAUAUUGUGCUAAUUUUUUUGGUAUCAUGCAUAUAUACACAUUUUUAAGCACACAUAUAUACAUAUAUGAACUAUCUUUCUUUACAUGUAUAUAUAUAAAUUAUUGUGUCAUUAUAUUUCCAUUCCAUAUUACAAUAAGUUUUAAAUAAAGCAAAAAAAAUUGUUAAUCUGCAUGGCUUUAAUUUUAAAAAUCAUUUUUAUAUUACCAGGUCACGAAAGUUGCUCCAGGAAAGUCCUAUACAUUAAAAGAUGUUGAAGCAGUAUGUGUUUUACCAAAUGGUUCAAAUAGUUUGAAUGUUAAAACUAUGAAAAAAGAUAUGUUCGUGAGUAAAGGAAAUAGUGAAGGUGCUAGCAUUUGUUUUUAAAUAUAUACACAUGCAUACACAUAGUUUAUUUUAUUUUUAGCAAAUAUAAAGUUUUACAAAAUUUGUGGAAAUAAUAAACACAACAAAAAAAAGCA